GAUGCCACUCGGUCCUCGAAAUAGCAACAAUCACCAUGUGAUCUGGCAGAUGACGCAGCGCUUGUAACCGGAGCCUAAAGACUUUGUGGGGUGUGUGUGUGUGUGUGCGAGAGGGUGAGAGGGUUCAUGAACACCGCGCCGCCUUCACCCGGCAGCCGCAUUAAUUCACCUUGCUUUUCACCGUCCGCUUCUCUUCUGCUCUGGAUCAGGACUAUAAGGAAGGCAGGUGGAAAUCUAGGUGCUGAGAGUGAGCGUGACCACGGACACACAACCAGCAAGGAAAUGGGGACCUCAGUCUUACCGUGGCAGAAAACAGUCCUAUCCCAGCCAUGACAGCUUGGAAGAUGACCCUGAGGCCCAGAGGAGAGUGUAGGCUAGUUGGCAUGUUGGCCUCAGCCUUAGGAGACCUUGAGCAGGGAAUCCAGCCAAGCCGCGCCCAGACUUCUCACCUCCAGAACAGUAAGAUAAGAGGUCCCAGGCAUGCCGCUGGACGACUGGGGACACACAGAGACAAGUAGGACACGGUGUCCACCCUCCAGAAACGGACGAGCGUGUGGGAGCAGCCGAGGGAUGGACACACAUACGUAAAUGACUAUCGCAAAGCUGUAGUGAAAAAUGAGGUUAUCCCGGUGCAAAGGAAGGGGCGGGGGAAACACUGGAUGCUGAGUGUGUGUGAAUGUGAGUGUGAGAGAGAGACAGAGACGUAGUGCCCACCGGAGAGCAAGAACCACCACAUCACCGAUUGAUACGUGCCCACUUUGUUGAAACCGAAGGAGUAACUUGGUAAACAAAUGAACGAGGUAGUUGAAUUUCCGGUGUGGGAGACAGAAGGCCACACGCUUACCGGAAAGUCUACGUGGAGAGACGAGGGCCAUGUGGAGGCCCCUCCAAGGACUGUGAAUUUUAUCCUAGGAGGCACUGAGGAUUUAAUAAAAUGCCAUAACCAGGGAAAUUGUACGGUAAGUGACAUAUGGAAAGUUCCAAAGUGAUAUUUGAAAACAACCAACUACAUCUGUAGCACCCAUAAAGUGAUAGAAUAGUGUCCCCGUGGGAUUUUAUGUUCGUUCAAUUCUGCAAAGACUGAUUUUUCCUUGUGAGUGUGCAAAUCCAUUCACCAGGAAAAUUGGGUUAAGAUCAUCAGAUUACAGAAAUACCAUUCCCGGACAGAGCGACCCUUGUGGUUCUGAACACGUGUGUUUGUUUAACAGCUCACACCAUACAUUCAAGCUAUCGUUCUAUUUGUGGGAGAACUGAGUCCAUUCAUCUUUCAGAAAAAUUAAAUCAUGUUCCCAAUAAAGACAAAAUUAAUAAGCUAAUAUACAGGGUAGUAGGAAAUGCUUAUUAGCUUAUAGCAUGCGAGAAGGCAUUUUUCAGUUGCUACUACUCAGGGGGCUGUGUGUGUAGGAAAGUAGGAAAAAGUGGGGGGGGAUCAGCAUGAGCAAGGAGAAAACAUGUUAUCGACGCGUCAUCUUUAACAGUAAAAAUUGAUGAUGCUAUACUCAGAAAAUGAAGAGUAGUGUGUUUGGGGCGCCUGGGCGGCUCGGUGCAUUGAGUGUCCUACUUUGGCUCAGGUUAUGAUCUCAUAGUUCCUGGGUUCGAGCCCCACGUCAGGCUCUUGGCUGUCAACACAGAGCCUACUUUGGAUCCUGUCUCCCUCUCUCUUUCUGCCCCUCCCCCAUUUGUGCACGUGUGUGUGUGUGUGUGUGUGUGCGCUCUCUCUCUCAAAAAUAAAAAAAAGAGUAGUGUGAUUAAUCAAAAUUCCCUGAAUACUAUGCUAUAUCUCGCCAGAUAGACUUAUCUGUACAUUCAAUGCAAUUCCAACAAUUUUCAGGGUAAAAGUUGAUGAGUUGAUCUUAAAAUUCAUAUGAAACAAAUAUUUCAAGAUUUAAAAUGACCAAAACACAACAAAAACUAUGGUCCUGGACUGUCAACCCUCAAGUGUACUGUAAGGCUAUAAUAAUUAAACCAAUGUGAUCAUUUCCUUUUUAAAAAUGGGCCAAGGAAAACACACAGUUUAGAAGCCAAUCCUCAUCUAUGUGGAAAUGUAAUUUAUUAUAAAAGUAGCAUUUCAAAUUAUUGGAAAACUAAUGUUCACAAAUCAGAAGAAAAUUUAUGUAAUACAGAUUUUAAAUAUAUUGUAUAUGUUUAUUCAGAUAUAACAUAUGUAUAUGAUGUUUUUCCCACUUUUCAGUAUGCUGAAAUAUACAUAACAUAAAGUUUACUGUGUAACCAUUUCUCAAUGUAUAGCUUGGUGACAUUAAGUCCACUCACGUUGUUGUGCGAAAAUCCCACCAUCCCUCUCUACUACUUUUCCAUAACUGAAACUCUGUCCCCAUUAUACAGUAGCUGACUUCUCCCCUCCC